rnacentral:rRNA from 1 species
CAGCACCUCAAGUGGUCAGGAUGAUUAUUGGGCCUAAAGCAUCCGUAGCCGGCUCUGUAAGUUUUCGGUUAAAUCUGUAUGCUCAACAUACAGGCUGCCGGGAAUACUGCAGAGCUAGGGAGUGGGAGAGGUAGACGGUACUCGGUAGGAAGGGGUAAAAUCCUUUGAUCUAUUGAUGACCACCUGUGGCGAAGGCGGUCUACCAGAACACGUCCGACGGUGAGGGAUGAAAGCUGGGGGAGCAAACCGGAUUAGAGACCCGAGUAGCC